GUAGGUGGAACCAGAUUACCUUACAGUUUAUACCCUUAUGGGAUAUGAAGACCUCAAUCAACGGAGUACUCUAUUUAAAAGGUCACCAUCUUCUACUAGCGCCUUUGAGCAACAAUAGCUUGAGCUUCCAAAGGCAGGUCAACAGAAACUGAGGCAGAAGCUGAAAUUACUUAUCUACAGCCAGAGAAUUGACAGAGCAGCAGUUCCCUUCCACAGCAGAGGUCAGCAAUGCUGCACUUAAACGGCACAGAGCUGCAGACUCUCCUGCUAUCCUUCCUACAGCCAUGUCUGAAUGGCACAGGUUUACCGGUCCCAGUACUCCCUCAGAACUACACUACCCAGCAGGCCAUUCUCCCAGUGGGCAGAGCUAUGCCUAAGGCUCAAGUUCAGGGAUUUGUGUACGUUCUACUGAUGGUAGGUAUGUUUAGUUUCUUCACG